rnacentral:sRNA from 1 species
UAGGAAUCGUACAUAUACGUUCCACUAAAUAAUUUUGUGUACGUACAUUAUAAAUUAAAUAUAUAUACAUGAAGAAAUCCGAUGAAAGGUAUAACUGUAAUUUUUCAGUCAUCUUUAACCUGAGUAUCUUUUUCUGCAUUUGAGUGUCACUAAUGAACAUGUUCUUGAUUGAAAAAGCAUCGAUCAUUUAGAAAAAAAUUAAGUCAUUCGAUCAUUUGUGAGUCCUAAACGGGAGAUAAGACAUGAUUUUUGGAAUAAUAUAAGCACACUACUAACUAUGUAUUCGGUAUAGUAUUGAAAGGUAAAUAUUUUACGUACAUGAAUACAUAUAGUUAUGAAAGACCUGCAGUUUAGUAUUGGAAAAUAGGUUUUACCUGAAUCAGACUACGAUUCGUUGAAUAUCAUAUUUGCAUAAUUUAUAUUGAGAUUUAUAGCCAUACAAAUAACUUAAUUUUGAUGUCAAAAAAUUAGAUUAAUGGUGUACCAUGUACGCUCCAAUAAAUAUUUUUGUGUACGUACAUAGUAUAAGACUUAUGUGAUUUAGGCAUUUUUAGGAUAUAAAUAUUUGAAGAGGUCAUACACGUGUACGUGUAUCUCAAUAUUAUCGUGUACGUCUACGGGUUUAGUUUUAAAUCUUACCUAUUCUCAACAAAUAAUAUCGUAUAACAUAAUGCUUACUAAAGAAUGUCAAAAUAACAAUUAAAUAGAAACAACAACAUCAAAACAAAAAAUAUCAUAUAUAUCGUACUAAAUACAUAACAUUUGGCUAACUCGCCGUAUGCACCAUCGUAGAUACCAAAAAUUACAAAAAUUCGUCAAUAUUGUAAAUAACAAUGUCUUCAUCUCUAGUAGGACUAUAGUAAAAUAUACCCUCACCAUGGUCAAUAUUGGUUUAUUAUUGUAUCAAUAAAUAUAUCUCAACAAUUUUAACUCAUGAAAAGAUGUACGUACAUCAUUUUUCAAAAGUAUUAAGAAUAUCUAUACUUUGACUAUAUAUUUUUACUUAAUUAUUAUAUAUGCAUAGAUUUUAUGGAGAAAACUCCGAAAAUAUCUCAUCUAAUCAAAAUAACCAAAGAUUUCUAAUGUACAAACUCAAUAUAUAAUUGUGUAUAUCGCUUUAACAAUAAAACAUAAUCUAUUAUAUUUACAUGUCCACAUGUACGUACAUCGUAAAUUACAUAUACGUACACAAAAGAAAUUUAUUGAAGGGUAUAAUUAUAAUUUUGCAUUCGUCUUCAACCUCUGCAACUUUAAUUUUGCACUCUUCUUCAACCUCUGCAACUUUAAUUUUGCACUCUUCUUCAACCUCUUACCCUUACCCACAAUUGUCGUCGCCGACGAUGAUACAUUAACUUCCAAAACUCCUCGCCGCCGACUACUCUUCUUCAUCUCUGCCAUUUUAGUAUGAACAGUAAUUCGAGAAACCAGAAAAUCCUCUUUUUGUUAGACACUUUAAAACGAACUCGAUCGAAAUUUCCUCCACUCAAGCAAAGACUCAAACUCGAACAGAGCCUCAAUCGGAAUUGGGUUUAAGUUUUGUCGGAAUUUUUUGCGUCUUCGAAUACGGACUUCGUCGAAACUGUUUUGCGUUUCUCGAAGACAGUUUUUGAUUUUAUUUUAAGUUUUAAAAUUAUUU